rnacentral:rRNA from 1 species
CCUACGGGCGGCAGCAGUAGGGAAUCUUCCACAAUGGGCGAAAGCCUGAUGGAGCAACGCCGCGUGGGUGAAGAAGGUCUUCGGAUCGUAAAACCCUGUUGUUAGAGAAGAAAGUGCGUGAGAGUAACUGUUCACGUUUCGACGGUAUCUAACCAGAAAGCAACGGCUAACUACGUGCCAGCAGCCGCGGUAAUACGUAGGUGGCAAGCGUUAUCCGGAUUUAUUGGGCGUAAAGGGAACGCAGGCGGGCUUUUAAGUCUGAUGUGAAAGCCUUCGGCUUAACCGGAGUAGUGCAUGGGAAACUGGGAGGCUUGAGUGCAGCAGAGGGGAGUGGAACUCCAGGUGUAGCGGUGAAAUGCGUAGAUAUAUGGAAGAACACCAGUGGCGAAGGCGGCUCUCUGGUCUGUAACUGACGCUGAGGUUCGAAAGCGUGGGUAGCAAACAGGAUUAGAUACCCCUGUAGUC